rnacentral:rRNA from 1 species
GUCGAACGCAGUAGCAAUACUGAGUGGCAGACGGGUGAGUAACAUGUGGGAAUCUGCCUUGUGGUUCAGGACAACAUUGGGAAACCGAUGCUAAUACUGGAUAAGCCCUUACGGGGAAAGUUUUAAUGCCAUAAGAUGAGCCCGCAUUUGAUUAGUUAGUUGGUGAGGUAAUGGCUCACCAAGACAAUGAUCAAUAGCUGAUCUGAGAGGAUGAUCAGCCACACUGGGACUGAGACACGGCCCAGACUCCUACGGGAGGCAGCAGUGGGGAAUCUUGCACAAUGGAGGAAACUCUGAUGCAGCGAUGCCGCGUGAGUGAAGAAGGCCUUUGGGUUGUAAAGCUCUUUUGUAGGGGAAGAUAAUGACUGUACCCUAAGAAUAAGGUCCGGCUAACUUCGUGCCAGCAGCCGCGGUAAUACGAAGGGACCUAGCGUAGUUCGGAAUUACUGGGCGUAAAGCGCGCGUAGGCCGUUGAGUUAGUUAAUUGUGAAAUCCCAAAGCUUAACUUUGGAACUGCAAUUAAAACUGCUCGACUAGAGUUUGAUAGAGGAAAGUGGAAUACAUAGUGUAGAGGUGAAAUUCGUAGAUAUUAUGUAGAACACCAGUUGCGAAGGCGGCUUUCUGGAUCAACACUGACGCUGAGGCGCGAAAGUAUGGGUAGCAAAGAGGAUUAGAUACCCUCGUAGUCCAUACCAUAAACGAUGAUUGCUAGAUGUUGGAAAUUUAUUUUCAGUAUCGCAGCUAACGCAUUAAGCAAUCCGCCUGGGGAGUACGACCGCAAGGUUAAAACUCAAAUGAAUUGACGGGGACCCGC